rnacentral:rRNA from 1 species
CCUACGGGGGGCAGCAGUGAGGAAUAUUGGUCAAUGGACGAGAGUCUGAACCAGCCAAGUAGCGUGAAGGAUGACUGCCCUAUGGGUUGUAAACUUCUUUUAUAUGGGAAUAAAAUGUUCCACGUGUGGGAUUUUGUAUGUACCAUAUGAAUAAGGAUCGGCUAACUCCGUGCCAGCAGCCGCGGUAAUACGGAGGAUCCGAGCGUUAUCCGGAUUUAUUGGGUUUAAAGGGAGCGUAGGUGGAUUGUUAAGUCAGUUGUGAAAGUUUGCGGCUCAACCGUAAAAUUGCAGUUGAAACUGGCAGUCUUGAGUACAGUAGAGGUGGGCGGAAUUCGUGGUGUAGCGGUGAAAUGCUUAGAUAUCACGAAGAACUCCGAUGGCGAAGGCAGUUCACUGGACUGCAACUGACACUGAGGCUCGAAAGUGUGGGUAUCAAACAGGAUUAGAUACCCGAGUAGUC